rnacentral:rRNA from 1 species
GGGGGAGUAACAAUCUGGAAACAAGGUGCUAAUACCGCAUAACAACAUUUAUCGCAUGAUAGAUGUUUGAAAGAUGGUUUCGGCUAUCACUUUUGGAUGGACCUGCGGCGUAUUAGUUAGUUGGUGAGGUAACGGCUCACCAAGACAAUGAUACGUAGCCGAACUGAGAGGUUGAUCGGCCACACUGGGACUGAGACACGGCCCAGACUCCUACGGGAGGCAGCAGUAGGGAAUCUUCCACAAUGGACGAAAGUCUGAUGGAGCAACGCCGCGUGAGUGAAGAAGGUUUUCGGAUCGUAAAACUCUGUUGUUGGAGAAGAAUGUAUCUGAUAGUAACUGAUCAGGUAGUGACGGUAUCCAACCAGAAAGCCACGGCUAACUACGUGCCAG